rnacentral:rRNA from 1 species
UACGGAGGGUGCAAGCAUUAAUCGGAUUUAUUGGGCGUAAAGGGCGCGUAGACGGGAAUGUAAGUCAGACGUGAAAUCCUGGGGCUCAACCCCAGAACUGCAUUUGAAACUACAUUUCUAGAGGAUAGGCGGAGAAAACGGAAUUCCACAAGUAGCGGUGAAAUGCGUAGAUAUGUGGAAGAACACCGGUGGCGAAGGCAGCCCCCUGGGCUAACACUGACGCUCAUGCACGAAAGCGUGGGGGAGCAAACAGG